AUGCGCAGAGGCUGCAGAGUCUGUCGCAUGUUUCCGAUGAUGUCACCGCACAAACGCACAAAAGCCCAGUGGGAAAGUGUCAUGAAAUGCUCUGCAAUUAAGAGAAAGACAUCUCAGCUUCCGGAUGAGCUUCGGCAGCUACGGAAGCAGCCGGACAUCCAUCAGGGGGCCGAAGCACAGCUCCGGUCGAUCGGGGGGGAUUUUCUUCCUCGUUGCCCUCAAGCGGUCAGAGAGUAAAGAAGAAGUUAUUCCUUCUGCUGUCUGAGCAAAGAGGACCAGCACUGAGGCGUCCACAUUUCAAUUUGUUCAUCUCCUGUUUUUGGAGUCAAAACGGGAACGCCGGAUCCGGCCCAGAGAACAUAAGUACAAGCUAAAACUUCCACCAAGGAAGGCCUCAUCCGGGGGUUUUAAUGCCAUUUCAGAACAAGUUCUGGUUUUACAGAACAACAAAUCAGUGACGAUGACUGCUGGGAUCAGCAAAAGCCCGUGAAGAAGAAUUCCAGCUGGUUGGGACAUCGGAGCUUCUGGUUUUCUUCUUCUUCUUCUUCUUCUUCUUCUUCUUCUUCUUCUUCUUCUUCUCCCUGCGUCUCUGUGUGCUUGACCAGCAUUUCCCUGCCCUCCUUUUCAGUUCUCUGUCCAGGGACAGAAUUAAAGGCAGAUACUGCAGGCGGACGUUAGAAAUGAAGUCACUUGCUUUGAGCUUUCACCCACGGAUGACCUCGUGAAGUUAAAAUAACCCUCCGAUGAGAGAUUUAAAGAUAAUAUUUGUUCCACCGAACAAACCGUGAUAUGAUAUCAGCAGAUGGAAUCAUGUUAUGACUGUAAUAAGUGCUAAAAAUAACCCUAUUCCGUUGAAAAUGUGCAGCCAUUGAGUGUUAAUAGAGCCCGACUGUCUCUGACCUUUUACCUGGAGGUCAUUUUAAGCUCUGAAAGAUGACUGAUGAACCAGCGACCUCGAGCAAGAAAAUACACUAACCCUAACCAAAAACUUCUGUAAUUGUGUAAUAAACCACUUUUAACUUG
rnacentral:lncRNA from 1 species